UACGUAGGGGGCAAGCGUUGUCCGGAAUCAUUGGGCGUAAAGAGCGUGUAGGCGGCUCGAUAAGUCUGCUGUGAAAGUCCAGGGCUCAACCCUGGAAGGCCGGUGGAAACUGUCGGGCUAGAGUCCGGAAGAGGCGAGUGGAAUUCCCGGUGUAGCGGUGGAAUGCGCAGAUAUCGGGAGGAACACCAAUGGCGAAGGCAGCUCGCUGGGACGGUACUGACGCUGAGACGCGAAAGCGUGGGGAGCAAACAGG
rnacentral:rRNA from 1 species